CCUACGGGCGGCUGCAGUGAGGAAUAUUGGUCAAUGGACGGAAGUCUGAACCAGCCAUGCCGCGUGCAGGAAGACGGCUCUAUGAGUUGUAAACUGCUUUUAUACGAGGGUAAAGGCAGAUACGCGUAUCUGUCUGCAAGUAUCGUACGAAUAAGGAUCGGCUAACUCCGUGCCAGCAGCCGCGGUAAUACGGAGGAUUCAAGCGUUAUCCGGAUUUAUUGGGUUUAAAGGGUGCGUAGGCGGUCGGAUAAGUUAGAGGUGAAAUGCCGAGGCUCAACUUCGGCAUUGCCUCUGAUACUGUUCGUCUAGAGAGUGUGUGCAGUAGGCGGAAUGUGUGGUGUAGCGGUGAAAUGCUUAGAGAUCACACAGAACCCCGAUUGCGAAGGCAGCUUACCAAGCUACUUCUGACGUUGAGGCACGAAAGCGUGGGUAUCGAACAGGAUUAGAUACCCGGGUAGUC
rnacentral:rRNA from 1 species